rnacentral:rRNA from 1 species
UACAGAGGGCUCAAGCGUUAAUCGGAAUCACUGGGCUUAAAGGGUCCGCAGGCGGAUUGGAAAGUAUCUUGUGAAAUACCACGGCUCAACCGUGAACAGACUCGUAACGUUACCUCAAUCUUGAACACGGUAGGGGCCAUCGGAACUCUAGGUGGAGCGGUGAAAUGCGUAGAUAUCUAGAGGAACGCCAGAGGCGAAGGCGGAUGGCUGGGCCGUUGUUGACGCUCAGGGACGAAAGCAUGGGUAGCGAACGGGAUUAGAUACCCCGGUAGUCC